AGACGAUACAGAUGAGCAGAACGAAAUACAUCGUCAAAUACAAGAAGUAUGGGAGGGUUUCGAUUUGAAAACAUCUACCAUUUUCCUAACUGCUCUGGAAAAGAUGAGAUUCCAGAAGGUGAAUCACCAAAAUGGCGUUGCAGAAAGAAAGCAAGGACCAUGGCCCAACAGCAAGAAGAAGAGGUUGAGAAGUUGAGACUGUCAAGCGUGGAGGAAGUGGAUAAGUUUGAUGAGACGCAAGAUUACCACCGAGGGACGUGGACAAGGAAGUGUGACUUCCUUCUGUCUAUAGUGGGCUACUCUGUCGGCGUGUCAAACAUCUGGCGCUUCCCUUACCUUUGUAUGAGGAACGGUGGAGGUGCUUUUCUUAUUCCAUUUUUCUUCUUCCUGAUUUUCUGUGGGAUUCCACUGUUCUUCAUGGAGUUAUGUCUCGGUCAGUUUUCUGGUGUCAGUUCCCUGUUUGUGUGGUCACUCUGUCCACUCUUCAAAGGUCUCGGCUAUCUGAUGGUCAUCGUAUCGUUCAUCAUGUCCUGGUACUACAUCAUGGUGCUCGUCUGGGUCAUCUACUAUCUCGUCAACUCGUUCUACGACCCGCUUCCCUGGGCCGUCUGUACAAACUCAUGGAACACGCCAUUCUGUAUCGAGGAUCGUGGCAAAAUAAACAUCAGUAGAACCUUACUGAAUAAUUUGACCUCAGUAGAGGUUAACACUUCAUUGGUGAUUGGUUCGAAUUAUACCUCUAACACCACGGUCACAGCAGCCAAGGAAUUUUGGCAAUUGAAUGUCCUACAGAUUUCCUCAGGCUUCGCUGACCUCGGUGGUAUACGGUGGCACCUUGUUCUGGCGCUGGCUGCCGCCUGGGUCCUUGUAUUCCUCUGCCUGAUGAAGGGUGUGAAAUCGGUUGGCAAGGUUGUUUAUGUCACUGCCCUUCUGCCGUAUGUCUUGUUGACGAUUUUCCUGAUACGCGGACUUCUGUUACCUGGGGCGGUCGAUGGUAUUAUGUUCUAUCUCACGCCAGACUUCAAAAGACUUCUGGAAUUCCAGGUAUGGCUGGAGGCUGGAAUACAGGUAUUUUAUUCUCUUGGCCCGGCCUGGGGAGGACUUAUAACCAUGUCUAGUUAUAACAAGUUCACAAAUAACUGUCUGAGGGACGCCAUCAUUGGCAGUAUGGCCGACGCUCUCACAAGUUUCUACGGAGGAUUUGUGAUUUUUUCCGUCCUUGGUUACAUGGCGUAUGAGUCUAAGCUACCGAUCAAUGAAGUUGCUACAUCAGGACCAGGCCUGGCAUUGGUAGCCUACCCAGAGGCUAUCACAAAGCUACCCUUCCCCCAGCUGUGGGCUGUACUAUUCUUCCUGAUGUUGUUAGCCCUUGGCAUCGACAGUCAGUUCGGUACAUUUGAGACGGUGUCCAGUGGACUGGUGGAUGCGUUUCCUCGUCAGCUCGGCAAGCGUAAGGUCCUGCUGACGGCUGCUCUAUCACUUGUGCUGUUUAUUCUUGGAUUACCGUUCACCACUAAUGGAGGGAUGUACAUCUUCCAGCUUGUCGACUGGUACGCUGCCUCACUGUGUGUCCUACUUACCUGUUUCCUGGAGUGUUUCAUCGUGGGAUGGCUCUACGGGGCGGACCGUUUCAGUAGGGACGUAGAACUGAUGAUGGGUAGACCCGUCCCUGUUAUAAUCCGACUGUGUUGGUGUGUUAUCACGCCGCUCAUAAUGAUGAUUGCAUUCAUAGCAACAAUGAUAAACUACCAGCCCCCUACAUAUGAAGGCUAUCAUUACCCGGGAAGUGCACGAGCUUUUGGCCUCCUCCUGUCUGUGAUACCCAUAAUUCCAGUACCUGUUCUCAUGGUAUCACAGAUAGUCAAGGCUAAAGGUUCAAUAGUAAACCGUAUUUGGAAAUUGACACAGCCAACUUUGGAGUGGGGACCACACAUCAGUAAAUACAGAGAAAUGUACCAAACAUCUGUAUAUCCGCGCCUACAAGGCCUGCAGCUUGUACGCGCGAAUCUGUUUGGUGCUCAUGAGCGAUAACUACUGUACCUCAUACUAUAGUAACUCAUUUAGUCGUGUCCAGUCUGUGCUGACCGAUGUCUUAUAGUAACUCAUUUAGUCGUGUCCAGUCUGUGCUGACCGAUGUCUUGCCAAGCAAUGAUUGAUGUUUGACAAGUUCUUACUGGUUUCUGGUGGCAAAAGUGAUUGAUUUCUCGAUGUCUAGCUGCAGUAUUGGCAGUUGUCUGGCUGCAGUAAUGACCAAUAUCUAGCAGUAGUGACCGGUGUCCAGUACAGUAGUGACUAAUGUUUAGUACUUUCGUUUUUU
rnacentral:misc_RNA from 1 species